rnacentral:rRNA from 1 species
GGACUACCAGGGUAUCUAAUCCUGUUUGCUACCCACGCUUUCGUGUCUCAGCGUCAGUUAUGGUCCAGUGAGCCGUCUACACCACCGGUGUUCCUCCUGAUAUCUACGCAUUUCACCGCUACACCAGGAAUUCCACUCACCUCUCCCACACUCGAAGUCAUUCAGUAUUCGGCGCACCCUCCCAGUUGAGCCGGGAGAUUUCACACCAAACUUAAACAACCGCCUACACACCCUUUACGCCCAGUAACUCCGAACAACGCUCGCUGCCUACGUAUUACCGCGGCUGCUGGCAC